UAUUUAUGUUUAAAUAUUUAGUUUAGUGAGGCCUAUAAACUGUAUAAUUGAUGAACUCAUCCAAACUUUACUGACAAUCUCAUCCAAAAUAUCUAGAAUUUUUGGAUGGAUUAUAAUUUGCAUUUGAUUACUUAAUCCAGCUCAUGCAAGUCAUCAAAUCAAACUUUUACAUCCAUUGCUAGAACAAUACAAACCAGCUAUU
rnacentral:lncRNA from 1 species